AAAAAAAGACAUCUUUCCAUGGGUAGACAUCGUUCCUUGGGUGAAAGGUAAUUCCGUAAAAGGAAACUGGCAUAAGAGCCCUGUUUUGAUUCUGAUGGUCAAUUCCUCUCUCCUCCUUAAGAACCAAGCAAAUCUUGAUUCUACUAUCCUACUAUCCCCAGUCAUUGAUUGGUUUAAGAGUGUGUCUGUGAUCCAAUAUCCGAUGCUCUGACAUGAGGAGAAAUCUGGAGAGCCUUCUUGUAAUGGUUUCUUUACUCUUAAAAAGGACAUUGUGGAAUUAGGGGAUGAUUGCUGGUGCUGUGGUAUCACCGUUUAAUCUCUUCUUGAAACUGGGAGAGGGACAAAGCCAACAAGUUGAUGAUGGCAGAGAGGAAAGUGGAGGAAAACCUUGGGUGCUUUUUUGAGUUCUUGAAUUUGCCAACUGGAAGCACCUUCUUCAGAAUUCCUGUUAGGAACCUCAGAAGAGCCUAAAAAAUUAAAAAGAACCUCAAUAUGAGUUUUGGCCUGCCUGAAUCUAGUGAACAAAAUGGAUUUCCAGUGGUAGAAACUUUGAUUAAAAAUAAAACUCCAUGCUUUAUGUUCUUGAAUAAACCCCUGUCACACUGGCUAUGACAGUGUCCACA